rnacentral:rRNA from 1 species
GUCGCUACUACCGAUUGAAUGGCUCAGUGAGGCCUUCGGACUGGCCCGGUGAUGUCGGCAACGGCAUCCUAAGGGACGGAAAGUUGGUCAAACUUGGUCAUUUAGAGGAAGUAAAAGUCGUAACAAGGUU